rnacentral:misc_RNA from 1 species
AACGCACGAGACCUGCGGACCUGCGGAAGGAUCAUUACCAAGAGAAAUCUUUCAACACUGAAAGAUCUUUUCCUUUGUGCUGGCUUUGACCGUAUGUAAUUUUGGGACUUUAAAAUGGUUCGCAAGGGCCGGUCCCAAAAACAAUAUAUCAUCCUUAUGAAAUUUUUUCUGAACAAUUAAACAAAUGAUUUUAAUAAUCUGUUUAAAACAACUUUCAGCAACGGAUCUCUAGAUCGGAAG